CCUACGGGUGGCAGCAGUAGGGAAUAUUGCUCAAUGGGGGAAACCCUGAAGCAGCAACGCCGCGUGGAGGAUGAAGGUUUUCGGAUUGUAAACUCCUUUUGUUAGAGGAGAUAAUGACGGUAUCUAACGAAUAAGCACCGGCUAACUCCGUGCCAGCAGCCGCGGUAAUACGGAGGGUGCAAGCGUUACUCGGAAUCACUGGGCGUAAAGAGCGCGUAGGCGGGAUAGCAAGUCAGAUGUGAAAUCCUAGGGCUUAACCAUAGAACUGCAGUUGAAACUGUUAUUCUAGAGUAUGGGAGAGGUAGGUGGAAUGCGUGGUGUAGGGGUAAAAUCCGUAGAGAUCAAGAGGAAUACUCAUUGCGAAGGCGACCUGCUAGAACAUAACUGACGCUGAUGCGCGAAAGCGUGGGGAGCAAACAGGAUUAGAUACCCGAGUAGUC
rnacentral:rRNA from 1 species